UGAUUCCGUGAGUAGUGGCGAGCGAAAGCGGAAGAGGCUAAACCGUGCAUAUGUCAAGCUGUCAGGCGUUGUGUGUGCGGUGUUGUGGGACCCACCUUGAAGAGACUGACAUUUCUUCGGGUUGUUGUGCUGGUUAGUGGAACCGCUUGGGAUGGCGGGCCGGAGUGGGUGAGAGCCCCGUACGCGAAAACCAGUGGCAAGGAUCUUGGUGGUGUUCCCGAGUAGCAGCGAGCUCGUGGAAUUUGCUGUGAAUCUGCCGGGACCACCCGGUAAGCCUAAAUACUUCCUGGAGACCGAUAGCGG
rnacentral:rRNA from 1 species